GGCAAAGCUCAAAUUUGAAAUCUGGCGUCUUUGGCGUCCGAGUUGUAAUUUGAAGGAAGGUAUCUUUGGGCCCGGCUCUUGUCUAUGUUCCUUGGAACAGGACGUCACAGAGGGUGAGAAUCCCGUGCGAUGAGAUGACCCGGGUCUGUGUAAAGUUCCUUCGACGAGUCGAGUUGUUUGGGAAUGCAGCUCUAAGUGGGUGGUAAAUUCCAUCUAAAGCUAAAUAUUGGCGAGAGACCGAUAGCGAACAAGUACAGUGAUGGAAAGAUGAAAAGAACUUUGAAAAGAGAGUGAAAAAGUACGUGAAAUUGUUGAAAGGGAAGGGCUUGAGAUCAGACUUGGUAUUUUGCAUGCUGCUCUCUCGGGGGCGGCCGCUGCGGUUUACCGGGCCAGCAUCGGUUUGGAGCGGCAGGAUAAUGGCGGAGGAAUGUGGCACGGCUUCUGCUGUGUGUUAUAGCCUCUGACGAUGCUGCCAGCCUAGACCGAGGACUGCGGUUUUUAACCUAGGAUGUUGGCAUAAUGAUCUUAAGUCGCCCGUCUUGAAACACGGACCAAGGAGUCUAACGUCUAUGCGAGUGUUUGGGUGUAAAACCCGUACGCGUAAUGAAAGUGAACGAAGGUGGGGGCCCAUUAGGGUGCACCAUCGACCGAUCCUGAUGUGUUCGGAUGGAUUUGAGUAAGAGCAUAGCUGUUGGACCCGAAAG
rnacentral:rRNA from 1 species